GUGGGGAUGGAGAAUUUAAAGCAAGAACACAACUGCAUCAGGCACAUAUCCUGGACAUUGUGAAAUUCCCUGAGGAUGGGGCUCCAGCAUGAGUCUGAAAGCUUGGAAGAAUGAACCUCUGACCGAUUCAGAUUGGAUCCUGUAACAAAAUGAUGUGUUCAAAUACAAGCCCACAGAAGCACCCACAUACUUACAUCAACACAGCUGGAGUGGGAAGGAAAUGAUCAAGAGUGAGGUCAGGUGGAAACAAACAAAAAAUGCAGAAGGUGAUAAUUACCUUAUUAACAAUGACCAUCAAAAGCAGUUAUGGGGUUACAUUUCAAAAAGAUGACUGACUCAAAGAGUCAGUAUAAAACAGACAAGAGAUUUAUCCUUCUAUAACUGGAUUACAGAAGGCAGAAAUCCAACAUUUUCAAGUGGUAAAAGAGAAAUGCAAGCAAUCAUAGGCAACAAGAUUCAGCAAAUAAUACUACAG